CCGACCCCUGACAGGCUCGGCCCCCUCAGCGCCGGCGUCCUCUGGGGCGGGCCUCCUUCGCGCUGGUUCUCAGGCCACGCAGCCUCCCGUCGCCGGCGCCGUGUCCCUGCUGCCGACUUUCUUGCCCUUCUGAGGGCUGGCCCCGCGCUCCCGGGCCUGAGGGACCCGCCCUGGGCUCGCGGCGCCGCCCACGGACCCCGACGGGGCCUUCCGCGCGGGGCCGCUGCACCUGGGCAACCGGUACGUCGAGGACAGUCUCCCGUGGGGCUCGCUGAGGAGACGCCUGCUGUCCCAGACACAGUUGGAGGUUCAUUAUCCAAGAUACUGCAGAAUGGAAUUGUAACUCUGCCAUGUUGCCCUGUCACAUCUAGAAGGAACUGUUCAUCACCAGAAAGAAAAAGCGUUCUCCAGCACUUAUGGAUCCCUGCUCAUGAGGAGAUAUGCCAUUGCCUUGGAGCAGGGCAGGCUGCAUGGAAAACAUUCAGGAUUCCUGCCUCCUCCAACUUUGGACAACACUGGAAAGCUGGUAAGGUGUGGAGAGUCGGUCAGAGUAGACAUUUGGGCAGGGCAACUAGAUUUGUAAAACAUGAUCUGUUUCCUCGUGGAACAGUAACAGCCUUGUGGGUUGAUCGGACAAACAUCCCCAUAAUGAGAUGAGAAAACUAAGCAGAGUGGAGCAAAGUGACACCCUUAAAUAAGACUUAAGGGGCCGGAACACAGGUCCACAGUAUCUGGGUCAGGUCAGCCUGGGACUACUCACACCCAGACAGACACCUGACUGUAGCUUCUUCAAGCUAAGAGUUGUGACCUGUGAUGGAGUCGGUGUGCUGCCAGUGAUCUUAAAUGCUGAUCUGUCUCUGUGCUAGAGGUGGAAGUCUUACAGUUGAGUGAGGAAGCUCCUCUUAAGAAAUUUAGUAAAUUUUAGUAAGUAGCUAAUUCCUUCUUGCAACAUGGACUGCUUUGUAUGUAAUAAGAUUCUAGAUUUUAGAAAUGAAUAGUCCUUUGUAAAUCCAGUGUAAUAGCACUAGUAUUAAAGGGUGUCUUUGGAAUUACUCCUGAGCCUUCUCUACUCUGAUUUAGGCCUUUUUUUUUUUUUUUUUUAAAGAUCUUAUUUGAAAGAGAGCACAAGCAGAGGGAGCAGCAGAGGGAGGGAAAAGCUGGCUCCCUUCUGAGUAGGGAGCCCAAUGCGGGGGCUCAAUCCCACAACCCUGGGAUCCCACAACCCUGGGUUCGUGACCUGACCUGAGCCAAGGCAGAUGCUUAACUGAGCCACCCAGGUGCCCCAUUUAGGCCUUUUAUCAUGCACAUGGACUCUUACUGUUCUUUCCACUGCUUCCUCCUCCUACCACCCACUCCCAGCUGGCUCUGAUUAAGGAGAGACUGAAUAGGGCAGUGACUGGGAAUGUGGUCUCUGGAGGCAAAGGGCCCAGCCCCAAACCAUGGUUCUGGUGCUUAUUUGCUGUGUGACCUUGGGCCAGGGUCUUUCAGCAAUGCUGGCUCAGUUGCCUUAUUUUCAAGGAGGAUAAGGAUAUCCUAGUAUCCUUAUCCUUGAGGAUAUAAUAGUACUAACCUUGCCAGGUGGGUAGAAUUAAAUGUGUUAAUUGAAAUACUUAAACAGUGUCUGACCCAUAAUAAAUCUUAAUUAUUAUCAUCUUGGUCA
rnacentral:lncRNA from 12 species